rnacentral:rRNA from 1 species
AGUAAAUAGAUACCCAGGUAGUCCACGCCGUAAACGAUGUCGACUUGGAGGUUGUGCCCUUGAGGCGUGGCUUCCGGAGCUAAAUGCGUUAAGUCGACCGCCUGGGGAGCACGGCCGCAAGGUUAAAACUCAAAUGAAUUGACGGGGGCCCGCACAAGCGGUGGAGCAUGUGGUUUAAAUUCGAUGCAACGCGAAGAACCUUACCUACUCUUGACAUCCAGAGAACUUAGCAGAGAUGCUUUGGUGCCUUCGGGAACUCUGAGACAGGUGCUGCAUGGCUGUCGUCAGCUCGUGUUGUGAAAUGUUGGGUUAAGUCCCGCAACGAGCGCAACCCUUAUCCUUUGUUGCCAGCGGUUAGGCCGGGAACUCAAAGGAGACUGCCAGUGAUAAACUGGAGGAAGGUGGGGAUGACGUCAAGUCAUCAUGGCCCUUACGAGUAGGGCUACACACGUGCUACAAUGGCGCAUACAAAGAGAAGCGACCUCGCGAGAGCAAGCGGACCUCAUAAAGUGCGUCGUAGUCCGGAUU